rnacentral:rRNA from 1 species
GAUGAACGCUAGCGGCAGGCUUAACACAUGCAAGUCGAGGGGUAGAAAUAGCUUGCUAUUUUGAGACCGGCGCACGGGUGCGUAACGCGUAUGCAACCUACCUUGAACAGGGGAAUAGCCCAGAGAAAUUUGGAUUAAUGCCCCAUGGUAUUUUGAGAUGGCAUCAUCUUAUUAUUAAAGAUUUAUCGGUUCAAGAUGGGCAUGCGUCCCAUUAGUUAGUUGGUAAGGUAACGGCUUACCAAGACGAUGAUGGGUAGGGGUCCUGAGAGGGAGAUCCCCCACACUGGUACUGAGACACGGACCAGACUCCUACGGGAGGCAGCAGUGAGGAAUAUUGGUCAAUGGGCGCAAGCCUGAACCAGCCAUGCCGCGUGCAGGAUUAAGGCCCUAUGGGUUGUAAACUGCUUUUAUACGGGAAGAAACAGUGCUUCGUGAAGCACCUUGACGGUACCGUAAGAAUAAGGAUCGGCUAACUCCGUG